rnacentral:tRNA from 5 species
AGGCAAUUAGUUUAAGAAAAACCUUUGAUUUCGGCUCAAACACUUAUGGUUAAAGUCCAUAAUUACCUA